rnacentral:rRNA from 1 species
CCUACGGGAGGCAGCAGUGGGGAAUAUUGGACAAUGGGCGCAAGCCUGAUCCAGCCAUGCCGCGUGUGUGAAGAAGGCCUUCGGGUUGUAAAGCACUUUUAUCCGGAAAGAAAAGCUUUGGGUUAAUACCCUGAAGUCAUGACGGUACCGGAAGAAUAAGCACCGGCUAACUUCGUGCCAGCAGCCGCGGUAAUACGAAGGGUGCAAGCGUUACUCGGAAUUACUGGGCGUAAAGCGUGCGUAGGUGGUUUGUUAAGUCUGAUGUGAAAGCCCUAGGCUCAACCUGGGAAUUGCAUUGGAUACUGGCAGGCUAGAGUGCGGUAGAGGAUAGUGGAAUUCCCGGUGUAGCAGUGAAAUGCGUAGAGAUCGGGAGGAACAUCUGUGGCGAAGGCGACUAUCUGGGCCAGCACUGACACUGAGGCACGAAAGCGUGGGGAGCAAACAGGAUUAGAUACCCUGGUAGUCCACGCCCUAAACGAUGCGAACUGGAUGUUGGGUGCAACUGGCACUCAGUAUCGAAGCUAACGCGUUAAGUUCGCCGCCCUGGGGGAGGUACGGUCGCGAGACGUAGAACGUACGAAGGAAGUUAGACGGACGUGAGACGNGCGACGGACGACGACGAGGGAGGAGG